UCGUAACAAGGUCUCCGUUGGUGAACCAGCGGAGGGAUCAUUACCGAGUUUACAACUCCCAAACCCCUGUGAACUUAUACCUUUUCAGUUGCUUCGGCGGGACCCCGCAUCACUGCGGCCCCGCCGGAGGACCCAAACUCUUCUGUAUUUUAUAGUACUUUCUGAGUGGAUUAUACAAAUGAAUCAAAACUUUCAACAACGGAUCUCUUGGUUCUGGCAUCGAUGAAGAACGCAGCGAAAUGCGAUACGUAAUGUGAAUUGCAGAAUUCAGUGAAUCAUCGAAUCUUUGAACGCACAUUGCGCCCGCCAGUAUUCUGGCGGGCAUGCCUGUUCGAGCGUCAUUUCAACCCUCAAGCCCCAGCGGCUUGGUGUUGGGGACCGGCACCCGCCUGCGCGGCCCUUCUGGGCCCGCCGGCCGCCGCCCCCGAAAUGAAUUGGCGGUCUCGUCGCAGCCUCCUCUGCGUAGUAGCACAAACCUCGCAUCGGGAGCGCGACGCGGCCACUGCCGUAAAACGCCCAACUUUUUUAGAGUUGACCUCGGAUCAGGUAGGAAUACCCGCUGAAC
rnacentral:rRNA from 1 species